UUUGUUCAGCAGAUUUAAAACAGCCACGCUGCUUAGGCGGCUUGAAAACAUAUGCUGAUCAAAUGCCAGGUCGUAAUCCUUCAUAAAAAUCGGGAUUUCAUGGAAAAUCACUAAUACACACCUACAGCUGGGACAUAAGGAGUUGCGUGCUUAUAGUGUGUAGUUUGAGUUACAUAUUGUACAUCUGUAUGUAUAUAUAGUUCUUAUGUGUGUGUGUGUGUGGGUUUUUUUGUCCCUAAUGUCAAUGAAUUUAAUUAUUGUGGUGUUUUACUUGCAAUACACUUUUCAUUUGGACAUUUAAAGUAGUUUGAGUCUGCUUGGUGACCUGAUGCAAAUAGCAUUUCUUGUGUGCUCUACAAGAAGCUACACUACCAGGCAAAAGUUUGGACCCACCUUCUCAUUCAAUGGUUUUUAUUUAAUUAUAUUAUGCAAUGUAGAUUAAUACUGAACACAUCAAAGGUAUAAAAGGAUACAUGUGGAAUUAUGUUGUACACAAAAAAGUGUUAAUCUUCAGUAUUCAUCUACAAUGUAGGAAAUAACACAAAUAAAUAAAAAGCAUUGAAUGAGAAGGUGUGUCCAAAUUUUUGACUGGUGGUGUAUGUGCAUGUUUUUGUCAUGUGUACACAUAGUUCCACAGCUGGAAUGUUUACCGUCCCCAGCUGAAGGAAUAUUUGCUGUCACUGCUGUUUCAUUUGCUACAAAACAGAGUGACGUAUAUCUUUCUUUUGACCUUCCUGCUGUUUUCUGUCUUCAGGCAAAAAUGUUAUCAGGAGGUUACUUUGCUCACAGCCUUAUCCAGUGAAUCCACUGCUACUACUAGGCAUGUCUAUCAGUAAAAUUACCAUCUCAAUAUCUGUGGGGCCCGACGGAGCAGAGACUACCUUGAAAUUCGUAAAAGGCUGAUGUGAUGAGGUAAUAAGUUGCUGUAAGGUGCCGCACCUUGUCAUGACAGCGCCUGACUCUACCUGCAGGCUACAUGCCUCAUCUUCUGGAAAAUGCUUUCACACAGCUGAGAUUAACAGCCAAGAUGACGAGACAUUUGAUCAGUGAUUGCAUUGUUUUAGCCCAGUCAGACUUUGUCAUCACACCAACCAAUCAAAACUUUACAGGACAUACUGUAUACAAGGUGUGUUAAUGUCUUUCUGUCCUAAAAGGCCUUCGUUGCAUGUUGCGCCUGGUGCCGAUGUGUUUAAUGACAUUUUGCCAUGUUUGAAAACGUGACACUUUAUACAUCCACGCUGGAAUAUGGCAAGAGCAGGGUUUGGAUUGUGAAAAAAGGAAUAGCAGGCAAAGCUGUAUUUUCAUUAAAGUGGCAUCAUGGCUGGAUUUACCUCUAAGUAAGGUGUGUUAAACAGAUGCUCAAGCUGUGGUCCAAAUGUUCCAAAUCAGUGUCUUGGUCUACAAAAGAAAGGAAAUCCUGCUCAAGGGGCUUGGCCAAGAACAACAGGACAAGAGAGCGCAAUAAUCAGUGGCAGCAGAAGCAGUAGUGACCGUGAUAUUGAUUUUAUUCCAUAAUUACACUUUCUGGAGGAAUUUGGACACAACAGAGAAGCAAAUAUAUAAUUUCAAUAAAUCAUUUGUAAUAUGAUGUUCCCUUCAUCACAACAAACCUGCAUAAAAUCAUUUCUUGAUGUCUGGAUGUAGGUGAUUUGUUUCAGUUUGACCAUAACGACUCAGUAAAGUGUUGGGUCUCCAGGAAAACAAACAGAAACAAGAGUGAAGUUAGCGUAUGUAUGAACUACAUAUGUGUGUCUGUGAGUGUGACUGAAAAAGCGUCCAGUUACAAUCUCUAUCUUACACAUGGGAAACCUGAGGACUGUUUGAGGCAUCUUUUUCCAACAGGCUGUGUGGAGUUUAAGCCAGUACCUGGUGAAACUCCAUCUCUGCGGGUUUAAUAUUUAAAGACUGUUGAGAGUUUAGUUCCCUGAAGAGAUCGGGAUCGACUCAUCCUUCUGGUCAGCAUAGCUGCACACAAACUGCACUGAAGCGCACUGAAGGCAUCUAAUAUGAAGAUUUCGGACUGAUCCAAAUGCAUAUGUGAGCUUACCAAGACUAAACACAGGAACAGCAGUGGACGGCCAACAAAUACAGUAAUAUACACAAUGUAUGUGAACUCCUCUGGAGCUGACAAUGGAUCUUAUUCACUGACGUUCCUGGGGAAGAAAGUUGGGAGACAUCACUCUGUGGCCCCUGCAGGCAAGCAACUGGCCUGGGAGACAACUGGCCGGUCGUCUUGCCCUCAGGACCCUGUGGUGUCCUCGCGGGCUGGUCAGGUCCCAGCGGCAGCGCAGGUGCUGGAAGAUUUACCAGGCAGCGUACCAGAGCUGAAGGAGGAGAGGCCAUGUCCAGUAAUUCACAACACACAAUCUGACCCGUACGAGGACAACGCAGCAGGUAUUUCUGGGAGGAAAGUAACAGCAUGACGACACGCCCACAUUCCUGUAUGAGGAAACAAAGAGGGGAGAGGGUGGGAUGUAGGAGAUAGACAAUGAUGAAAUACUCAGAAGAGGCCUUUUUACGAAACGGGUCAAUGUUUUAGACAAGACUGGGCAUGGUGAAGCAAUAAGCUGAAAAUGAAAAUAAACAGAACUAAGUUCUACAGUUACUGAAAUGACAUACAUUUAGAGUGUAGUGUUCAGAAAUGUAAAUAGACCUUAAACUGCAUGCCAGUCACUCAUCGUCAUCAUAAACAUGUAAACAUGUUUUAAACCUUAUAAAUAAAAUUUUAAUGGUUUCA